CCCCGCCUUUAAACCGCGCGGCGGGACCGCGGCCUCAGUGACGUGGUCGCACACCGCCCGGCAAUCCUGGAGCUGCCCGCGUCGGCCCUCAGUCCUCUCGACACACUCACCCGCUCUCCGCGCGUCCCCCGGAGCCUCGGAGAGCCAGCGGCCCUGAGUCAGGUGGACUAUUCCGAAGUCUUCGAUGGCUAGUUAGAAAAGUUGUGUUUUAUUUGGAAGAAGAGGAUCUCAUCAUGUUGCUGAAGAGAACCCUGAACUCCUAAUCCUCUGGUCUUCCCAAGUGCUGGGAUGACAAGCAUGCACUUCUAUCAAGUUUACUCAGGUCAAGUGAUGGGCACAGACCUAUGGUAGUGCUGGACUGCCCCACACCCACCUGACCUCACCAGACUCCUGGGCCAGGCUCUCCAGCAGCAGUCCUCAAAGCUAGGGCUGGCUGCCCAGGACAAGAGACUUGUCCUCACAUGGAGCUCCUGCUGGGCGUGGGCCCUCAAGGACUGCCUCUACCAGGACCGUGGUCCUUCAAGAUGGGUCAGUGUGGGACCUUGCUUCCAAGCCGGAUGACCUGGCUUGAUCCCUGCAGCCCUCCUGGUGGAGGAAGGGAACAGACUCCAGCAAGUUGUCCUCUGAUCUCCACGGGAGCACUAUGGUCUGCCAGAGAAGGAGUAAAGCAAGACAAAGUUUGCUGUCCUGACUGCUCCAGCCUUUCCUCCUCAUCCUCUUUGUCCUGAAGAGCCUCAACAGGAGGAAGGAGAAUACUGCUACUCCCAGGCUGUGUGGUUCUGGGGCUCUAACCCAGGGCUUCAUGAACGAGCAGUAAACACUCUACCAUUCUAAGCCCCUCGAGUUUUCUUUUUCAAUAGAAACCAUAGAAGAAGAGAAUUGAUAAUAAA